rnacentral:rRNA from 1 species
GAGUUUGAUCAUGGCUCAGAGCGAACGCUGGCGGCAGGCUUAACACAUGCAAGUCGAGCGGGCGUAGCAAUACGUCAGCGGCAGACGGGUGAGCAACGCGUGGGAACGUACCUUUUGGUUCGGAACAACACAGGGAAACUUGUGCUAAUACCGGAUAAGCCCUUACGGGGAAAGAUUUAUCGCCGAAAGAUCGGCCCGCGUCUGAUUAGCUAGUUGGUGAGGUAAUGGCUCACCAAGGCGACGAUCAGUAGCUGGUCUGAGAGGAUGAUCAGCCACAUUGGGACUGAGACACGGCCCAAACUCCUACGGGAGGCAGCAGUGGGGAAUAUUGGACAAUGGGCGCAAGCCUGAUCCAGCCAUGCCGCGUGAGUGAUGAAGGCCCUAGGGUUGUAAAGCUCUUUUGUGCGGGAAGAUAAUGACGGUACCACAAGAAUAAGCCCCGGCUAACUUCGUGCCAGCAGCCGCGGUAAUACG